GGCAGACAUGUCCCAAAAUCCAGAAGGAGCAUCAUAUAUUUGAAAUGCCAACCCUGUUACAUCAAGCUGUCCAUGAAGAUUUGGAAAACUUUCCCCCUUUUCCAUGCACAUGUGCACCUCGCCAGUAGCUCUUCCUUUGGACCAUAUGAUUGGAAUUUCCAAUAUCCUCUCAAAAAGCGGAACAAAGAGGUUCACAAUCUUCAGAUUCGCAUGCCAUUUCUGCUCAGUAAUAUCAACAUAAACAUCUGUUGAUAACCAACCACCAUUGUCAGAUCUGAUGUCCGAUCGCCACAUCUUAC
rnacentral:misc_RNA from 1 species